GGGGGGGGGGGGGGUGUAUUGAAGAAUAAACAAGGAAUUUGAAGACAAAGGAUACAAGAUCAAUUUGAAUCUGCAUAUAGGAAAGAGUUUAAUUUAAGAGAGGUGCCUUUCUUCUUCAUCGUUUCGAAGAAAGAGAAAGCGAAGCACCGUUGAAAUUGUUUUGAGUCAGUUGAUUAACAUCAAACGGUUUUCAGGAAAAGAGGUUCAGUUUAAAAUAUAAGCGAAGUUUCUGAUGUACUGAGAAGUGAUUAGGUGGAAUAAUGAAAAGGAUAUCUGUAAUAAUUUUUUUUUUCUUUUUUCUUUUUUAAUUUAAACUAUCCUUUCUGUUGGUCACUUGGUUGUUGUUGUUGUUGUUAGCUGUUACUGUUUCCUUUUCCUUCCUUUUCUUUAAAUUUUUUUUUUUUUUUAAUUGGUGCGGAUGGGACCGAAAGGGAGAGACAUUAGGAUGUUUCUCGGAUGUGUGUGGCACUGUGGUGUGCAUUAUUAGUCUACACGAGGCAUUAUUAAAGAAAGGACAAGAUUUUUUUUCUUAAUUUUUAUUUUCUUUGUAGUUUGUUCCCAUUUAUUCUGGGCUGAGCGCAUUCUUAUGCCAUCCCUAAUUAUUACAUUAACUCAAUCGGGCAGCCAAUUGCCCAUUUCAAUUCUUGGCAGCAUUUUGUGGUUUCAUACUACAGUUUUCUCCGUACAAUUUUACUGUACGAUGUUUCCAUUAUUCGGGGCAUUUAGUCCCUAUUCAAGUCCAGGCCACACCAAUAAACUUUUAGUUCUAUUAGAAAAUUUCUACACUUACUUUGGUGAGAGCAAAUAUUCGAAUUUUCAUAAGAUAGCUCUUACAAAAAUUAGUUGCAAUUAUCAAAUAAUUAAGUAAACUCCUCAAAUCUUAAAAAGAUCAAUGUUCCAUAUGUAUAACUGUGUAUAAUAAAAUUUAAAAAAAAAAUUCAGGCCACAACCCAAUUACCCAAAAUGCCAAAUAAGAAAGGUUAAUUAUUCGUACAAAAGAAUAAACCUUAGCGUAGUUAGACACAUGGUUAUUAAUGUGAUGAUCUGUCCAGGUAUAAAAUCAUCAUCAGUGUUGCUAUCAAAAAGAUAAUGUGUUUGUGGUUUGUGGAAUAUGAAUAUGGGAUGGGGCUUUUACUUUAUUUUAUCGCCGUCGAGAUUACAAGGAAGAUUUAUGAUGAUAUAUAAAAGAAAACUUGAGUUCGACGUUACUUCAAUGUAAGCUAUUAGUGCAUAAGAAUCUUACCAUCUAUUUUACUACUUUUAUAACCUUGCUUAAGAAGGAAUGUCACACUCUAUAAUAACGACUUUGAUUCAUCUGCUGGGAUUCAUUUGUUGUGCCGUAAGUAACGAAUCAAAAAGAGGUUGAUUAGAACUGAACCUAUCUCUGGAUUGCUCGAACAAAUAGAGGAUAACAGAUUCUAGUUGUUUUAUAUUAGGAAAAAGGACUAUUAAUUCACUUAAUGUAAAAAAAAUAAAAAAAAAAAUACAUAUAACUUCCUUGCUAUCAAUCAAUUUUAUUUAUUUUAACUGAGAAAAAAUAAUAUUUUAUCUUUACGAACAAAAAAAACUUACAUUUUUAAGAAAUGACGUGUAAAAUUCUCAAAUCUUAUUAAUUUUCAAAGUAGCAACAGCUGCGAUGUAUAAAUUUAUAAAACUUAUUCAGUUAGUUUGAGUUGUUUGCUUGGUAAUUUAAGCAUAAUAUUUUAUUUCUUUCAAAAUGUUUUUGGGAAAUCAAUUAUAACAGGUCAGUAUCAAAAUCAAGUCUUGUUUGGGUUCAUUUAGUGUAUAUUUAUGCUGCCUUUACUAAAAACAUGUAGAAUGGGUUUGUUGAUAGUUGGUCAUGCUUGUGCCUGAGUAUUUGGUAUGGGUUUAUUUGCGGUAAAAAAACUUAAAUUCAGAAAAAAAAAUUAGAAAAAUAGAAAUUGGUGAGUCUAUUAAGCUAUGAUUGUCUUGAAGCUCAAAUGAUGAUGGGUUAAGAUAGGUUUGAUGCUGGUGCUAACUCAGAGUUUGAAUUUCAACUUCAAUUUUCGUUUAUGGGUGAGAAAUUUUGGGCAAAUACAGUAGAUAAGGCUAUGCAUUUCCAACCAAAAGAAAAAAAAUGACGAAGAGGAAGACAAGGCUACGGUGUACUAUGGCCUGUAAAUUUUUUUGUUGGCAUUUAAAAAUUUUUCAAAAUUUUGUUAGUCUUUCAUGUCUUUUUUAAAAUAUUAUGGAGUUUUAUAUAUUUUUUUCAAAUGUUAAGAGGUUAACAAUUUUUUUCAUGUAUUUUUGUAUAAAUAUAUAGUAUUAUCCUUUUUUCAAUUAAAAUAAAUGGAAUUAAUUAAUGAAAAGAGGUUAAAAAUCUUUUUAAAAUAUUAAAAGGUUUUAUGUCUUUUUUCCAAACGCUAAGAGUUGCCAAUUCUUUUUUCUUCAUGUCAUUUGUCAGCUAAUAACAUGUUGGCAUUUUGUCCUAUUUUUACACCUCAUUUGUUAUUAUAAUCGCAGCCUUGUGUCUCAUUUUACCUUAAUUUCUUCUAUAACAUGGAUUAGGAUCUGGUUCUUACUAUUCAAAAUACAUACAUCUAAUGGUAUAUUUACUUAUUGAGAAUGUGAAUGAAUGAUAUAUUUACUUACUUAAAUAAGAGGUAGAAUAGGGAUGAAAGUGGUGGCUCUCACCUAAAAUUGAGAAUGAGUACUAGAGUUCCCAUUCUCAUGGAAGAGGUGGGAACAUAAAUCUCAUUCCUUAAAGUGAUUACAUUUUCUCUACUUAAAUCUUAAAAUUCUCAUUUUAUCAUUCCUUAUAUUAUUAUUAUUAUUAUUAUUAUUAUUAUUAUUAUUAUUAUAAAAUAAUUACAAUAAUCAACUAAAAUCAGUUUAGUAACUUGUAACAGUCUGUUCCGAUUCUGAUUCCUACAACUAAAAUAAAUAAUUUAUUUUGUUUCUCAUUUCUCAUUUCGAUUACUAAUUAAUAAACAUACCAUAAAGGCAUCAAAGAUAAGAGUUUCUUAUUCUAAGACAGUCUCACACUUUUAUCUUAUCUAAGUUUGCAUUACUUUGAAAAUAUCAGUUGUGCUUGCCAAUUGCCCAAAUUAGUUAUAUGGUUAGGCAACAUGUUGUAAGGCAAUGCACCAUCUAGGGCUAGACAUUGGAUUGGAUUUGGAUAGAUUUGAUUCAAUCCAAUUUGAUUUGUAUAAAUUUAGAUCAGAUUUGAAUUUGGCCUCAAAUCUGAUCGGAUAAGAUUUGUGUCAUUCGAUUGGAUUUGAUUCGGAUCGGAUCAGAUUUGGAUAAGAUUUGUGUCAUUCUUUUAAAAAAAAACACAAAAUCCCUAAUUCCAUCUCGUCCUAAACUAGCACAAAAUCUCUAAUUCCAUCUCUUCCUAAACCAACAUAGCAGCAACCACAAACCAGCACAAACUACUGUGACCCACACCGUCGACUACACAAACCAAACAAAAUCAACCAUAUCUUGAUCCACGUCCAGUCGCCACAACAUUUAACCUCCUCCAUACCCACGAUGCCGUGAAGACCCAAGCCAUCGAUUCCAGCCGUGUCUUGAUCGAUGUCAACGUCCAGCCAACCAGUUGCAUGCUGCACACCAUUGAAGUUCUAGACGACUCGUGCACGCCACCAAUUACAAUUUUGAGACGAGCAACUAACAAUUGUAGGGUUUACAUUACUCACCCACAUGCUUUUUGGUGGUUUUACUUGUGUUUUAUGUUUUCAUUAAUUAUAAAUUUAAUGAAUUUUUGUGAAAAUUGUAAAAAAAAAUCCCAAAUUCAAAAUAUUCAUCCGAUCCAAAAUAAUCCGGAUCAAAUCGGAUUUGAAGUUCAGAUUGAAAUCAGAUGGAUUUUUUUCCUGUAUGAAUUAUCCGAAAUCCGAAUCCAAAAUUGCCCACCCCUUAACACCAUCCAUCUAGUACACAAUUUGAGUCUGACAUACACUACGAGCAAGUUAAACCAAGUUCACAUAUCAGAGUAAAGCCGUGGUUUUACCACGCAAUUGAAAUCUUUAUUUAUGUCCAAUAAAUGAGACCUGUGACAACAUUUAAAGAAUAACUAGCAACCGCAUAUUUUACAAAAUUUGCUAACAAGCAAGCUCCUUAUUCAUUCUAUAUCUAGGGACGCCUAACAGCAUCCAAAAGAUUUCCAACUUCUUGGAUAACAGCAAUGCUCUUCAAAAUCACACAAUCUGUUGAGAGAUCAACAUGAAAUGGUUCUUGUUCCCCUUUAUACAAAUGAAAAAUGAAACUGUCUAUUCAUCAACACAGUGCUGAGUGCACGCCAUAAUCCCAGAGCCUUACUACAAAACAUUUACCACUGAUUUGGAAAGGACUCUCUGUAAAUUGCAUCCUCACCCAUUCUCAGCCGUCUUAUUGUUGCAUCCCUUGCUCGGGUAUUCAGAAGUCUGCGAGUUAACCUAUCUCUUGGAGUUACUUUCUUUCGCAGCAUGGAAGCUAGAGUUUGCUUCUUGUUUCUUGAUGACGAUCUCCUCCCAUUUGUAUCUUCUGCCUCGUCUCCUGCAGUUGCAGACCUUGAAGUUGAAGCCAAGGCAGCAUCCCGUAAAACUGCUUCAUUGUGUUCCCGUACUUUUGCAAGUUUUGCUCGAUUCAGCAACUGUUUAUCAAUUUUCCUCUUCCUAGCUUCCUCUUUAUCUCUCUCCCUUACAUUCUUUAUAGCGUGUUUUGCUAAUUGCUCCACUAAAUCAGACCCCAAAUCUGUUAAAGUCUCAUCCGUUAAAGAGCUCUUUUCUAUCGAUGAUGUGCUCUGAUUGAUAGGAUUUCCUUCGUCAUCUCGGGGAAUGAUGGGUCCAUGAAAUGGGCAGACUUCUAAAUCCCUUCUCUGACAAAGGCCUCCUUUCCUCAAAGGAGCACGGCAUGGUUGGAUUUCUACUUGCUCUUCUUUGUAAAGAGUUGCCCUAAGGUUCAAUUCUGCUAUCUUCUCCGCUGGAAUAACUGCAUCAUAGUCUACCCUACCCCAGUGAUUGUCAAACUCCAUGCCCCUUUGAUUAACCAAAACAUCCCUUUUCAAAUUAUCUGAGAAAGAACCACAUACAAUCACUGGAGCUUCUGCCAGAAGCUUACUUCUGAGCAAUGUUGAAUCAAUUUUACUACCUUCAUUAUCCAGAGAAUCAUUCCCAUCAGACUUCUGUUUGGGGACUUCAGAAGCCUUACCUAUGACCUCACUGGAGGCCAAUACCAUGGACAGAUUACUAUUGUGCUUACUAGAUGCAUUCGAACUCCCACUCUCACUAGACCCAAUCUUACCCUCUUCCCAAAAAUCUUCCUCUAAUUCAUCUUCUAUGAGAGGUUUCACAUUGUUUAUAAGACCACAGCCAGAGUCUUCACAUUUCUUCUUCACCAAUUGGAGGCGAUUUUGAAUAUCAAUGAACUCCUUCAGCAUUUUAUCUCUAGACCUAUUGUCUGACACUUCCACCCUAAUAAGAACAGAAAUCCAUUCUUGGACCAAAACCAAAUGCUUUGUCACUAGAAGCUUGUACAACUCCCUCAGUGCAUCAAAAACUACUUUAUUAUCUUCAUCCUCGUGAACCUUUUCCCCUUCUUUCAAUGAAUCAAGGCGAAUCUGCCUCAAUUCAGAAGAAUGGAACUCCUCAAAAUCUUCAUCAUCCAAGGGAUCAAGCAGCAUAAUUUCUUCCUUGGCACGAAUGAUGUCUAAACACUCUCCAAUCUCAUCUAUUGUCGACUGUAUUUCUUCCUUUAUCGAAGAAAGAUUUUGCCGCAGCAUUUCAAACUUGUUUCGUAAAAUCUCUUUUGUCCUCAUCUCUCUUUCCCGUCUCUCCCGCUGAAUCCGAGCUGCAUUUGCUUGUAAAUUAGGAAACUGGAGCCUGAGAGUAUUUUUAAGGUAAUCAAAGCCUAAUCUAAUUUGUCUGUAGUGAACCCCAAAAGAAGCAUUCCAUUUCUCCAAAAAUUCAAAAGCCUUUGAUCGCAAAAUAGAUGCAAUAGCUGGAGGCGCAGGAAGUGGUAAAUUUCUUCUGAAUCCAAUACUUAAACUCAAUAACUGAUCCAUGUUCUCAACAAGAAUGGUCCUAAAAAGCUUUGAUCGCAUGAAGAGUUCAUCAAUUAUGAGAAGUGUGAGAUAUCGGACCUGCAAGACCAAUCACAAAACAAAAUCAUAAUAAUCCCUAAUUUGUUCCCCUUAUAAGAAUCCUAGUAUAUCAUUGAAAGUGAAAAAAUAAAAAAUAAAAAAACACUAAAUUUUAUGCAAAUUAUCAAUUGGAAAGCUAUUAAAGAGAAUAAUAUAGAGAACCCGAAAUCAGAGAUUUUAAUAGAUACGACAACACCAAAUUGAAUAAAAAAUAGUCAUUCAAUUAAACUAAUAAAUAAACGGAGGAAAAUAAUAAAAGGAAAACAAUUAAAGGACCUGAGAAUGGUCGCGUUUCAUAAGGUCCAUGAGGGUUUGAGCGGCGAGUCGCAGCUCCGAAUCCGAAUUUCGAACUACCCAUUUAAUGGCCUUGAGGAGACGUGGGUCCACCUCUCGUUCCGUCGAGUUCGUCGCCUUGUCUAUCAAGGCCCUCACCUUCCCUCCUUGCUCUUCCAUUUUCGCUUGCCAAUCAGUCCAACGCGAACAUGAUAUAUUAAUUUUAAUUUCAAAAUCCAAAUCCCUAAUCUCAGGUCAACGCGCGCUACCGCAGCGUCACGAUGACGAUGUCGGUUGGGUGUUUUCUUCUUCAAGUUCUAGCCUCCUAGUACCAUCAAUUUACAUAAGAGCCACUAUUGAACACGACGGCAAGAGAAUACAUACAGCCUAAAAGUAUCUUAUCCCCUUGCCGAUUGAUAGAUCAAUACUGACAAUACAAACACCGCUCCCUCUAUUUCAUCCUCACCGCUUGAAUAUUUAUUUGAAUGGGCUUCCGCCAAUUCUGAGCCCACCGUGUGUUGGAUCUCUUCCAUGCUAAAAGAGUUGGACUAUCCGCGUCUCUCCAGAAUCAUUUUAAAAUUUAUUUUUUAAUUAUAUUUUAUUCAAUAUUAAAAAUAUCUUUUUAAUAAACACUCUUUUUAAUUAUGAAUCUUUAAUUUUUUUUAAAUUCACUCUUAUAUUUUUCUUUUUUUAAUUUUAACAUCUCUAUCCAUUUAUUUGAACUUUUUCUGUCUACAAACAAAAAAAAAUGGUUUUUCAAAGAUAAAAAUAAUAUAUACGAAAAUAGAAAGAAAGAGAAAAAAGAAAUACUAAUGUUUUAAGUUUGUGCAAAAUUACAAACCAAUAUAAUAUAUAAUUAUAUAGAUUGAAAGAAGAAAGGAAAAAAAAAAGUGCAAGCAAAAUAGAUUGAAGAGAAAACGAAUAGAGUGGGUUAAUUCUAUUUGUAAUUUUCUUUAAAUGCAAUUUUCAAUAAAAUAAGGACUUUAUGAGAUUAAUAAAUGGUUGUCAAUGGUCCAACCUAGGACAUUUUUUAAGUAUAUGUGAACAAGAUUGUCGCCUAGGACACAUAUUUUAGAGAGACCCUAUUUUUUAAUAAUAUUUUAUGUUUUUUAUUAAGGUACUAGGAAAAUUUAUUUUUAAACAACUUUCAAAUAAAAAAUUAUUAUCAUACAAUUAAUAUUUAUUUUUCAUACAAAUUGUAUAUUCGUUGAUGUUAAAUAGCUAUUACUAAUAAUAUUCUCUAAGCAUUAAUUCAUUCCUCAUUAGUCUUUCAAACGCAAAAAAAAAAAAAAAAAGUUUUGCCUUUUCAUUUUUUUAAAUACUUAUUUAUGUUAUAAUCUUUUACUUUCCUUUUAAUUUUUAUUCAAAACCCCAUAAUUUGAAAAAAUUUAGUAGACAAAGAAUCGACAAUUUUCGAAAAAUUUAUUGCUCUCUUCUUAACAUUUAUAUUUCAAAAAUUUUUAAGAUCUUUUUUAUUAUUGUUAAAAUUCAAAAUAUAAUUAUAGAUGUGAUGAAUUUUGAGCUCUUUUAUUUUUCUUCAAGUGUUGAAGUUAUUAAAUGUAUAAAAAGGUUCAACCGAAAAAAAAAAUCUUAAGACCCCAAAUAAUCUAAAACCGACCUUAAGUCCAUGUCGCACUUUACUAUGAUGAAUAAAGUCCAAUCCUUCUAUGUAUGAAUGUUGGUGUAUUAAAAAAAUUAUUCUUUUUCUAUCUGAGUUACUUUUUUCCUUGGAUACCCAACAUAAUACCUAUGUAAAUGUGAGAGAGUAGGUAACACUAAUACCCGAGAUCAAUGAAUAAAACAAACAAAGCUACACUUGGUCUGACUUUUCACAAGAACAAAAGAAAAUAUUGCUGCAAAUCUUUGAAAAUUUCAACAUUGUCCAAGGGUUAUAUAUACAAUAGAGAAGUAAAAUAAUAAUCUGCCAUGUGAGUUGAUAAUUUUAUAUAUAAAAUUUCAAGUACUCAGAAGCUUCUUGAUUAAUAGUAACUAUUUCGAUGAUUGAGGCCAUUUACUCUAUCAUGUGCUUGUUUCCAAAGUUUUGACGAUCUGAACAGAAAUAAUAAACAUUGACUACAAAAAGGAACCGUGUUCUGUUUUGGACCUUUGUUCUGGCUUUCCGCAAGCACUCUUGAACGAGUCAUGAGUUAUGUUUAAAUCACAGAUUAUUAUUUUUUUUUUCAUUUUAAUUAUCUUUUGCCUUUGCCUUUUCUUAUGUUUUCCGUAAGUGCUUAUUCAUCCCCAUGUGAUCUAUCAUUUAAUCAUAGCAUUAUUGCCUCGCUCUCCUCUCGCUGUGUUUAUCUCACCGACAGUUGAACUGCAGUGUUUAUCUUGUGUUGAUUUAUAUUUUAUACAAGGGAAAUUAUCAGUUAUAUACCCUUAAAUGACACUAAUAUCAAACGUGCUACAAUACUUUUCAAGUGUAUCACUCGUAUACCCUAAGUUGACAAAACACUUCUGCCGUCCACCAAUCCGUUAACUGUCGUUUGCGAGCGCUGAUAUCGUAAGAGUAAUCUAUUCUUUUUAAAAAAAAGACAUGUCAUCCCAUUUACCUAGUAAAAAACGACAUUUCAUAUGAUAUAUUUUGAUAAAAAUGACAUGUCAUCCCAUUUAUCGGAUAAUUGUUAAUAAUUGCUAAAAAAAAAGGCUACUUUACAACCAAAUCUAUUCCUCCAAAAUUUAACCUAAAUUAUUGAAGAUCUACUCCUCCAAGCUCUAACUUGAAUUUUUUAUGGUAUAAUAUGUAUAAUUGUAAAUAAUAUGUUGUUAAUAAUUUUUUAUGGUAUAAGAUGAAUAUUUUUUAUGGAUAAUUGUUAAUAAUAUGUACCAUUAAUAAUUCAUUUUUUUAAUAAAAAAAUGUAUUGUUAAUAACAAAAUUAAAAAAUUGUGUAUUGAAAAUUUACAUUAAUUUUCAAGGAAAAUUUGUAUUUUUACUUCAUUUUGAGUUUAAAGGGUAAAAUAGUUAUUUUGCUCAAAUUCUGUUAAGUUCUUAACGGUAGUAAACGAAAAGGUGGAUGCCAGAACUCUUUUGUCAACUUAGGUUAUACGAGUGAUAUAAGCGAAAAGUGUUGUAGCACAUUUGAUACUAGUGUCAUUUAAGGGUAUAUGACAGAUAAUUUCCCUUUAUACAAUUCCAUUUAUAUCUCAUAUACAUUAUAAAAAUCUAAAACUAAUUAGAAAAUAAAUAAUUAACUUUAAAAAAUUAUCAUUAUUAUCAAUUUUAUUGAAACAAGGGAAAUUAUCAUUUGUAUACCCUUAGUUUACUCCAUUAUCAAAAAUACUACAACACUUUGAGGGUGUAUCAAUCGUCCACCCUAAGUUGACAAAAUAUAUCAGCUGACCACCAAACCGUUAGUUGCCGUUUACGUAUGAUGACGUCAGAAGGGUAAUUUGGUCUUUUCAUAUGAUACAAGUGAUAAUUUAAAGGUAUACAAGUGAUAAAAAGAGAAUUUAAGGGUAUACAAGUGAUAAUUUUUAAGGGUAAAAUCGUCAAUUCAGUGUAACUCCGUUAACUUUCAAACGACAACUAACAGUUUGGUGGUCAACUGAUACAUUUUGUUAACUAAGGGUGGACGAUUGAUACACCCUCAAAGUAUUGUAGUAUUUUUUAUAACAGAAUAAAUAUAGGGUAUAUGAAUGAUAAUUUCCCUUGAAACAACAAAAUAAAAAAUAAAAAUAAAAAUUUAAAAUAUUUAUUUUAAUUAUCAAUUAUUAUUAUUAUAUACACAAUAAAAUUUUUUUAUAUACAUAUCUAUAAAUGGGUAGAUAAAUUUUAUUCAAUAUUAUAUCUAACUCGAUUAUUUGUAUUUUUAUAAUAAUUUAACAAUAAAAUUUACCAAUACAUACGAUUAAUUUUAAAACUCACAAUACUUUUAAAAAUAAAUUUUACAAAAUAUUUAAUUUAUUUAUUUCUACGGUACAAAUAACACCAAUUAUUUUAAAAACUAUAGAAUUACCAAACUGAUCUAAAAACUAUAGUAUUACUUUUACAUUAUAAAGAUAUAUUAUGAUAACAACUCAAAGUCUAAAAAAGAGAAAGAUAAUUUAUGAAUAAAAUUAUUUAAAAAUUAUUUUUUAGAAGAUCGAAUCGUUCACUUUUCCCUUAGAUAAUACUCUUUCCCUUGAGGGUAAAAUUUUUAAAGCAAAAGUCUUAUCGUCUGCCUUUAAUCAUUGCAUUUUCCCAUCACCAAAUUUAGAUCUCUCCAGCACGGCAUCCAUUCAGUGGAAUCAAUCCAACCAUUUUUUUCCAGCUUGAUUCUCAUUGCGAUGCCAUCACCUUUUCGUCGUUCUCUUCCAGUAGCCAAUUACCAACAAUGGACUUCGUUUCCAAUGAUCAUAUCAUUUUUUCACUUUUUGAAAACCAAACUAUGGAAAGAGAGAGUAGGCGUUGAUUUUAUGAAUAGUAACCCAACGUAACCCAACUUUGAUGCAAGAUGUGACAUACACAAAUAGUUUGUAACAAAAACAAAAAGAAAUAAGAAAUAAUAAAUAAAAUAGGUUAAUUGGAGAAAAUCUGAGCCUCUCAAUAAAUUUAAAUACAUCUAACCAGCUGCUAAAUAAUAAUAAUCCAACCUCUUUAUUAUUGGCGACGAUGAUAAUUUAAGUGCUAAAUUACAGAAUUUAGAUCCAAAAAACAGGAACACAAUGAAAUCUGAUGCUGCUUACAAUUACGUAAACGCUACCAUUACUUGCACUUGGUCAAAAUAUAUUAUGAUAACAGUAUUGAAAAUUAUUUUUUGAAAAAUCGCAUCAAAAGUGAUAUCCAAAACCUCAUUGUAAGCAGUGCUGCUUCAACAGCAAUAAUUACAGCCACAUGAAGGGCAUUAUCUUAUAGUGACUGUGUAGUUCACAUUCACUUUUAUACCGUGGUCACCAGCUAGAGUCCAACUAUGCCUAACAUAGGCAAUCGACAGCUCUUUCCAAAGGCAGCACCACUUCGGUCUUUGAUCAUAAGGCUUAUUAUUAAACUACUCAUAAAUUGGGAAAAAAAACACAUUAUUUAACAAUAUCACAUCUGUUAACGCCACAUAGGUGAGAGUUCGGUGCACGCUAACUUCUUUUGACUUUGUUUCUGCCAAGUUCCAUAUGGGCACUAAGAAAAAUCAUAAGGCGGCAAAUGGCAAAGGCAUGUGAUUUAUGGACUAGUUUUUCAUACUUUAUUGUGAUGCUUGUGUGACUUGAAUUUUGUUCAAUUGCUUCCAUAAAGAAGGAAAAAAACAAGGUAAAAAAAAAAAAAGAAGGAAAACUGUUUUGUUACACUGCCAGUGGCCCUUGGAUCUGCAUGCACUCAAAUGCUUUGUCUUUGGGCAUUAAAGAAGGUAAAAGCAUGUGGACGAUACCAGUACAAAUUAAUACACAAUGAAACGAAAGUUGUAGGGACCACCGACACGGCCUGACCAUUAACUGUAUAGCUGCGGCUAACAGGUAACAACAGUAGGACUUGACUAGCUUACAGAAUCUGUAAGCCACAGACUGCAGCAUCAGCCGUUGGAUGUGGUUGGAUGUGGAGUGAGAAACUAAACAAUAGAUGAUCGGAUGUGGGAUAACGGGAGAUGUUUGUUACAGAAUCUGUAACAUAGACAGGUCCACAACAGUAAGGCUAUUUGUUUAUGGUAAAUCAACAUUAGAUUCCUCAGGCUGCCAAAAUUUGGUUAAUAUUUUGAAUAGAUCAUUAAGAAGGCAACACAGGGCGGUGGCACUUUACAGAGGCUUCACAACCAAAUGAACUUCAAAACAUGUAAAGCAAAUGAAAUUUGCCACCAUGUAACUGUGAAUAAGGACCAACUAAUUUCAUUUGCUUCCUGGGAGGGGAGGAAAACAUAUAAUGACAUUCCAGCCGUUUAUUUAACCGGCCAGACCGGGUGGCGAUGGCACCACCGACUGCCCUCCAAAUGAUAUAUAGUGUAAUGGGGGUAGUGGGUCGUCCUAAAAGCAUACGCAGCAAAUAUCAAUGCCUAUCCUCAGGAGUUAAAUCUCCGAUGAUUGCUGAACUAAACGUCAGUUAAAUUGCAAAUAAACGGUGUACACUUCCAAAUCAAAGCAAAGGAAAAAAAAAAAAAACUGUGAAUAGUAUUUUAUUAUUAAAAGUUCAAUUUGACAAUUUUUUUUUAAAUUAACCAUCUUACCCUUGUACUAGAGUUAUGAUUUUUUUUUUCUUUUAGAAGACUGAUUAAAAGCAUUUCAUAAUUUAACAGAGACAAAUAUGUGAAUUAUAAACCUUAUCACCUGCACUCUGAUUAUUUUAUCAUUUUUCCCCCUUCUCUUCUCCAUCUCCUUUCUCAGACUCAUAUCCAGGAAAGAUUUUUUUCAUAUUCCCCAAAAAAAAAAGAAAUAAAAUAAAACAAAACACGCAGAGACAGAAUAAUUAACAGGAAAAGAGAGUUUUUCCCUUACAACUACACCCACGCGCAAUGCAACCUCAAGCGCACCCGCGCGGAGCAAACCCGAUCCGUGAAGCGGCCAAGUCAUA
rnacentral:lncRNA from 1 species